CGGGAUUGCUCAUUUGUUACUGAAGUUUGGAACUUGCUGAAUAUAAAAUGGAACGGGGUGAGAGGGGAACAAUCUUUCCAGGAUUGGCUAAAGGGAAUUUUCAAUGCAUCAUCGGAGGAUACUUGUUGUCGGAUAACAUGUGAUAUGGUUCAUCUGGUCAGAGAGGAAUAGGUGGGUCCAUGACAGAGUUUUUUCAUCGACACAACAGAUUGCACAUAAGAUUUUACAGUAUUUACAGGAACUAAGGGGGAUUCAGAAGAAGUUACCUAUAUCGCCGGUGGGUUUUGAAAUAUGGAAACCGCCGGAGGAUCCUUAUAUCAAAAUAAACUUUGAUACAACGCUUCUUGAGAGUUCUUCAAAGUCUUGUUCAGGUAUAGUUAUCAGAG
rnacentral:lncRNA from 1 species